AGAAACUUAGGUUAACACUAAACCAAGAGCCUUCAAAGCCCUAAACAGGGGGCACCACCCCUAGUUCCUG
rnacentral:tRNA from 1 species